rnacentral:lncRNA from 1 species
AGUAAAAUUUUUCUGGAUAACUGCUCUGUGCCCAUGCCUAAUCAUAGUUAAUAUGAUAAUGGUGAAAUGCAUAGCUUUAGCCAUAUGUCAACAUGCAUGAAUUUAUUUUAGAAUUUUAGAAAAAAUAUGUUCUAUAAAAUUAUGUAUGUACAUAUGUCUUAUCAUAUAUAGAAGUCGAACAUAUUGUACGGAAAAUUUAAGAGGCAAGAUGCUUUUAAUGCCUAAUAGAAAUUUAAGAAUAAUGAUUUUGUUCAUUUUGAUAAGGAUAUUAAUGGUAUGUUAAUUGUUUGUGGGAAAGUAAUCCAUCAGUUUUAGAAUAUAUAUAUAUAUUAUUUUGUCUUGUUUCAGGGAGUAUACUUCUUAGUUUCUCUACUGUAUUAUACAAUACUAGGAGCUGAGCCCCGCGCAAGCGCGGGGUUGUGCACAUUGUUGUUGUGUUGUCUAUAUCUGAGGAGGAAAUGAAGAUUGUGUAGUUGGUGUUCUAAAUAUGAAGAUGCUCUGACCUAUAUAAUAAGAGUUCUGAGAUUGGUUUUGAAGAGCGAUGUUUUUGUCUUGGUAUUGUGGUUGUGUGUGAAAUGUAGUGGGUUACAGUCAGGCUAAUUAAUAAUUUACGUUUAAAAUUUGGGCUUACUUUCAUUUAUAAUAAGUUCCACAGAAGGCAUGUAUACAGAGUGGACGUUUAUGCAAUGUUUACAUGAGUUCCAUAUUUCUAUGUAAACAUGUACAGAUGCAUUUAGUUUUGAACAUUUUCAAUAUGCAAGGCUUCAUCAACGAUAUAUAAAAUCUUAGUCACUAUCCUUUUGGUGGGAGGUAGUUUGCCGUAAAAUGCAAGGAAAAACAAAACAAAGUUCAAAAUAGGAAAAACACAGGUAGUUGAAAAAUUUUAAAGAGACGAAAGCUGAAGAUCAUAAUAAAUGUUAUAUAUCCCAGUAUAUUGAUUUCCAAGAUUCCUGAUAGAUAUUCUCUCAUUUCUAUACCCUGAAGAUCAUAAUUCACUUGGGAAAGACACGAUAUGAUCGUGGUUUGGAGAACAUAGACAACAUAUCUUAUGCGUUUGGUAAUGCAUUUAGAAAAGCAGCUCAAGAGAGUAGAG